CGAGCCGCGCACACCGAUACAUACACACGCAGAUUUGACGGCGGACUUGUCGCCAGGCUCUACAAAUCCAGCGGAUGGGCGCGCUUGUGAAUGGUGGCCAUUAGAAUGCAGACUCGUGAUGUAAAAAAUCGGUUUACCACAUUAAGUUACUAUGUACUACGUACCUCAAUGGUUUACCAUGUGUUGUUAAAAGUAUCUACUUACAUAUUUAAACGCGAACAUGAUAAAAUUAUAUUUACGUAAUAACAACCAAAUAUAUAAUUGUAUUUGGCUAUCACAGGAAGAAAUUAGUUUUCCUGUAGUGUAUAUAAUAAACUGUGCGGGUAUUGGUCCUUCAUUAUGUGCGGCAGACUCGCCUAAUUAAGCAUUAAAUUAAAAUUAUUUUAAAAACAAUACCAUGAAAAUUAUUCAUAUAUUAGUGAUAACGCUUCUUUUCUGUGUAAGUUUAUAUGAAGCAAAUCCCAAACCAAAACCGUUCUGGGCCUCGGAAAACGAUGACAAGGAUGGUUUUUUAAAGAAGGUUUUCCAAAUGAUUUUCGGAAACUUAAAUGGCUAUGUGAACAUAGGAAAUGGACAAGAAAACACUAACACGAUAUAUAUUGAAACAGGAAAUAAUAUUUAAGUAAAAUUUUAAGUAUUAGUUUUUAUAUUAUUAAAAUAUAUUCAUUAAAUACAUUGCAUACUAAA